CUAAAACCUGGAAACUGAACGCCAGGAAAAUACACACAGACUCAGCGCAGUUGAAGUACCUUCCUUGCAGUCCAGGGCCUAAGCUACAGAGCUGAUCCUGCUUCUGGGAUGGUGCCCAGGGGACAUCCUGCCUUCUGCAGAAGAUGAGAGCCUGCCCUGCCCCCAGGAUGCCGGGAGGUCUUGCUCCAGCCCCCCACCAGCCCCCGCGUCCACUUUAGUACCCAGAAGUAAUGGAGCUGUCUUCUCCUCUCGCCAGACUGCAGUCCUCUCUCACCACAGGGGAGCACAACUGGGCAACCAAGGGUCUGACCUGAGCUCCAGCUUUGGGGGGGAUGGGGAAGACUUGCAGCCAGCUAGUGCCGCUCAUGCUGCACAGUUCCUGGCACAUGGUCGGUGCUCAGUAAACAUGCAUUGAGCGAAUGGAUUCCCCAGCCAGCUGGAUGUCUCACAGGGCUCAGGAGCCAGAGUGGAGCAGGAGGAAGUCGCCUCACCCUUGUCUCAGAGAGACCCUGGGGAGCUAGACACUCCCCUGUCCCCACCUCCCUCUGCCUUCAGCUGCAGCGUCUUGGCAUCAGACCUGCUGCUCUCGACUUUGCAGCCUACAGGAACCCUCUCAGAGCCCCUCACCCCACCUCCAGCCUCUGCCCAGAAACUCUUGAAAGCAUUGUCUCCCCUCACUGCUUCUGUCGCCACCUACUUCCCCUAACCCUCUGAGAUCCUGUCCCAACACCCCA